CGGUAAUUCCAGCUCCAAUAGCGUAUACUAAAGUUGUUGCAGUUAAAAAGCUCGUAGUUGGAUUUCUGCGGGGACGGAGCGGCCGGUCGCAACUUGCGACUCGAGCUAGCGCUUUCCCCGCAUCCUGCCGCGAACCGUGCUACCAUUAGCUUGGUGGCGCUGGGGAUCGGCUCGAUUACUUUGAGAAAAAUAGAGUGUUCAAAGCAGGCCACACGCCUUGAAUAAGUUAGCAUGGAAUAAUGACUAAGGACUUUGGUUCUUUUCGUUGGUGUUCGGGACUGAAGUAAUGAUUGAUAGGGACAGUUGGGGCGGUCCGUAUUCCAAAGCGAGAGGUGAAAUUCUUAGACCUUCGGAAGACGAACAGCUGCGAAAGCGUUCCGCAAGGAUGUUCCCUUUGAUCAAGAACGAAAGUUGGGGGAUCGAAGACGAUCAGAUACCGUCGUAGUCUCAACUAUAAACUAUACCAGCUAGGGAUCGGCCAACGUUUAAUUUAUCGACUUGGUCGGCACCUUAUGAGAAAUCAAAGCAUCUGGGUUCCGGGGGGAGUAUGGUCGCAAGGCUGAAACUUAAAGGAAUUGACGGAAGGGCACCACCAGCCGUGGAGCCUGUGGCUUAAUUUGACUCAACACGGGAAAACUUACCAGGUCCGGACAUAGUAAGGAUUGACAGAUUGAUAGCUCUUUCUUGAUUCUGUGGGUGGUGGUGCAUGGCCGUUUUUAGUCGGUGGAUGUGAUCUGUCUGCUUAAUUGCGUUAACGGACGAGACCCCAGCCUGCUAAAUAGCGCGGCCGAGCUUUGCUCGGUGCGAGCUUCUUAGAGGGACCAUGAUGCGCGAUAGCACAAGGAAGUUUGGGGCAACAACAGGUCUGUGAUGCCCUUAGAUGUUCUGGGCCGCACACGGGCUACACUGGCGCCUGCAACGAGCAUAUCAGCUGGCCCGAGAGGGUCUUGGCUAAUCUUUGGAACCGGCGCCGUGCUUGGGAUUGACCAUUGCAAUUGUUGGUCAUGCAACGAGGAAUGCCUUGUAAACGCGAGUCAUCAGCUCGCAUUGAAUACGUCCCUGCCCUUUGUACACACCGCCCGUCGCUCCUACCGAUGAAUGUUCCGAUGAAAUUUUCGGAGAGCACCAGAGAACGGGGCUCUGCCUUGCAGAUCUGGAGGCUCAAAGUCACUUAAAUCUGAACAUUUCGAGGAAGGAGAAGUCGUAACAAGGUAGCCG
rnacentral:rRNA from 1 species